rnacentral:rRNA from 1 species
UGCAGUCGAGCGAGCAGAACCAGCAGAUUUACUUCGGUAAUGAUGCUGGGGACGCGAGCGGCGGAUGGGUGAGUAACACGUGGGGAACCUGCCCCAUAGUCUGGGAUACCACUUGGAAACAGGUGCUAAUACCGGAUAAGAAAGCAGAUCGCAUGAUCAGCUUAUAAAAGACGGCGUAAGCUGUCGCUAUGGGAUGGCCCCGCGGUGCAUUAGCUAGUUGGCAAGGUAACGGCUUACCAAGGCAAUGAUGCAUAGCCGAGUUGAGAGACUGAUCGGCCACAUUGGGACUGAGACACGGCCCAAACUCCUACGGGAGGCAGCAGUAGGGAAUCUUCCACAAUGGACGCAAGUCUGAUGGAGCAACGCCGCGUGAGUGAAGAAGGUUUUCGGAUCGUAAAGCUCUGUUGUUGGUGAAGAAGGAUAGAGGUAGUAACUGGCCUUUAUUUGACGGUAAUCAACCAGAAAGUCACGGCUAACUACGUGCCAGCAGCCGCGGUAAUAGAUCGGAAGAGCACACGUCUGAACCUCC